UGGAUUGUAAUAUGAAAUAAUUUAAAAGGGCUUCGCUCAUAUAUAGGAAAAUCGCAUAUGGUCCUAGUAUUAAAUUCUUAUUGCUUACUGAUUUUUUUGAGUUAAGAGUUGUUAUAUGCUAGAAUAUGAGGAUGUGAAUAUAAAUAAGAGAAGAAAAAAGAAUAAAGUAGAUUGAGUCUCCAAUUUUAUGUAAGCUUCAGAAGAACUGGUUUGUUUACAUGCAAGCUUAUAGUUGAAAUAUUUUUCAGGAAUUACAUGAAUGACAGUCUUCGAACCAAUGUGUUUGUUCGAUUUCAACCAGAGACUAUAGCAUGUGCUUGCAUCUACCUUGCAGCUAGAGCACUUCAGAUUCCGUUGCCAACUCGUCCCCAUUGGUUUCUUCUUUUUGGUACUACAGAAGAGGAAAUCCAGGAAAUCUGCAUAGAAACACUUAGGCUUUAUACCAGAAAAAAGGUAUUCUCUAUUUACUCGUUUGUGCCAACAUGCUAAGAGUCCAAGCUACUCUAAGGAAGAAAUACUAACUUUUUUUUCCUCCAACAGCCAAACUAUGAAUUACUGGAAAAAGAAGUAG
rnacentral:lncRNA from 1 species